ensembl:lncRNA
CUGUGUGGCUAUGAGAGAUCAAUGUAGAUCCAUCAGCUGUAACGAGUGUACCAGUCUGAUGGGGGGAUGUUGAUUAUGGGGGGAGCUGUGCCUGUUGAGGGUAGGGUGUAUGUAGGAAAUCUCUGUAUCUUCCUUUGAAUUGCAUUGUGAACCUAUAACUGCUUCAAAAAAUAAAGUUGAAUUAAAAAAAAUCAUGCUAAGUGAAAGAAGCCAGACAAAAAAAGACUUAGUUGAUUAUCUGCUUCUGGUGGCGUUUAACUUAUACCUCGAUGAUUUGGAAGUUUAAUCUAAAGGCUUGACUUAUGUUUGGCAAGACUAUUUCAUCAGUCAUGCUAUGUACUUCAUACUACAUCGCAUAAGGAGGAAGUCAAGGAAGGCGUAGCUGACAGCCAUUGGUGCCGGGCCCACAUUCCGCAGGCAUUCUGGAAUGAUCCAGUUCAACUCAAUCUUACUGGAAGCACAUGUGACCCUGCCUGUGGCCUGAGGGAGUGUCUCUCCGUUUGUGUGACAG